ACUGCUCAGUAACACGUGGAUAACAUGCCCUAAGGUGGGGGAUAAUCUCGGGAAACUGAGGAUAACACCCCAUAGAUCUUGAGCGCUGGAAUGCCUCAUGGUCGAAAACUCCGGUGCCUUAGGAUUGGUCUGCGGUCUAUCAGGCAGUAGUGGGUGUAACGGACCCACUAGCCCGUGACGGAUAUGGGCCUUGAGAGAGGGUGCCCAGAGAUGGACUCUGAGACAUGAGUCCAGGCCCUACGGGGCGCAGCAGUCGCGAAAACUUCGCAAUGGGGGAAACCCCGACGAGGGAAUUCCAAGUGCUAGCACUUUGUGUUAGCUGUUCUUCUGUCUAAAAAACAGGAGAAGUAAGGGGCGGGUAAGACGGGUGCCAGCCGCCGCGGUAAUACCCGCGCCCCGAGUGGUGGUCGAUAUUAUUGAGCCUAAAACGUCCGUAGCCGGUCUUCUAAAUCCUUGGGUAAAUCGGGCAGCUUAACUGUCCGAAUUCCGGGGAGACUGGGAGACUUGGGACCGGGAGAGGUCAGAGGUACUUCUGGGGUAGGGGUAAAAUCCUGUAAUCCUGGAAGGACCACCGGUGGCGAAGGCGUCUGACUAGAACGGAUCCGACGGUGAGGGACGAAGCCCUGGGGCGCAAACGGGAUUAGAUACCCCGGUAGUCCAGGGUGUAAACGCUGCGGGCUUGGUGUUGGGGGUCCUUAGUGGGCGCCCAGUGCCGGAGAGAAGUUGUUAAGCCUGCUGCUUGGGGGAGUAUGUCCGCAAGGAUGAAACUUAAAGGAAUUGGCGGGGGAGCAC
rnacentral:rRNA from 1 species